UGUACCUUGGAAAACAGCCGAGCCACA
rnacentral:piRNA from 1 species